GACGAACGCUGGCGGCGUGCCUAAUACAUGCAAGUCGAGCGGACGGAUGGGAGCUUGCUCCCAGACCGUCAGCGGCGGACGGGUGGGUAACACGUGGGCAACCUGCCUGUAAGACUGGGAUAACUCCGGGAAACCGGGGCUAAUACCGGAUAACUCUUUCCCUCACAUGAGGGAAAGCUGAAAGAUGGCAUCUCGCUAUCACUUACAGAUGGGCCCGCGGCGCAUUAGCUAGUUGGUGAGGUAACGGCUCACCAAGGCGACGAUGCGUAGCCGACCUGAGAGGGUGAUCGGCCACACUGGGACUGAGACACGGCCCAGACUCCUACGGGAGGCAGCAGUAGGGAAUCUUCCGCAAUGGACGAAAGUCUGACGGAGCAACGCCGCGUGAGUGAUGAAGGUUUUCGGAUCGUAAAACUCUGUUGUCAGGGAAGAACAAGUACCGGAGUAACUGCCGGUACCUUGACGGUACCUGACCAGAAAGCCACGGCUAACUACGUG
rnacentral:rRNA from 1 species